rnacentral:rRNA from 1 species
AACGCGAAGAACCUUACCCAGAAUUGACAUACAGAGGACAACGCUAGAAACAGCGUCUCCCUUCGGGGCCUCUGAACAGGUGCUGCAUGGCUGUCGUCAGCUCGUGCCGUGAGGUGUUGGGUUAAGUCCCGCAACGAGCGCAACCCUUAUCAUUAGUUGCCAACAUUUAAGGUGGGAACUCUAAUGAGACUGCCCGGGUUAACCGGGAGGAAGGUGAGGAUGAUGUCAAGUCCGCAUGGCCUUUAUAUCUGGGGCUACACACGUGCUACAAUGGCCGGUACAGAAGGCAGCAAAACCGCAAGGUGAAGCAAAUCCCUAAAGCCGGCCCCAGUUCAGAUUGUAGUCUGCAACUCGACUACAUGAAGACGGAAUUGCUAGUAAUGGCAGGUCAGCACACUGCCGUGAAUACGUUCCCGGGCCUUGUACACACCGGAGUA